rnacentral:rRNA from 1 species
UACGUAGGGGGCCAGCGUUGCUCGGAAUUACUGGGCGUAAAGGGUUCGUAGGUGGUGCGGCAAGUUGGGAGUGAAAUCUCUGGGCUUAACCCAGAGGCUGCUUUCAAAACUGCCGUGCUCGAGUGCGAGAGGGGUCAGUGGAAUUGCAGGUGUAGCGGUGAAAUGCGUAGAUAUCAGGAGGAACACCUGUGGUGUAGACAGCUUACUGGACCAUUUCUGACGCUGAGACACGAAAGCGUGGGUAGCAAACAGG